AUUGAACGCUGGCGGCAGGCCUAACACAUGCAAGUCGAGCGGAGAGGCGGACGGGUGAGUAAGGCCGAGGAAUAUGACUGGUAGUGUGGGAUAACGUCCGGAAACGGGCGCUAAUACCGCAUACUAUCAGAUUAGCCUAGGUCGGAUUAGCUAGUUGGUGGGGUAAAGGCCUACAUAGGCGACGAUCCGUAACUGGUCGGAGAGGAUGAUCAUUCACACUGGAACUGAGACACGGCCCAGACUCCUACGUGAGGCAGCAGUGGGGAAUAUUGUACAAUGGGCGAAAGCCUGAUCCAGCCAUGCCGCGUGUGUGAAGAAGGUCUUCGGAUUGUAAAGCACUUUAAGUUGGGAGGCGUUACCAACAGAAUAAGCACCGGCUAACUUCGUGCCAGCAGCCGCGGUAAUAC
rnacentral:rRNA from 1 species